GGGCCAUGUACAGUGCAGGCCAAGGGUAAGAUGUGCUUAAGCGGGUGAAAAGAAUGGAAGUAACGCCACAGUCUAAGUCCUUCUUUUUUAAGCUCCACAUGGAUUCGUGCCUGCAUAGUUCUUGCCUUGGCCACCUGCACUGUGGCUGGCUACGUUGGCUACCCAGCCGCCUACUCCUACGGCGCGCCUGUAGUAGCCACUUACCCAGCGCCUGUAGCAGCCGUUUCUACCGUCUACCCUGCCCCAGUCAUCCCAGCAGUAGCUAAUGCCCCGGCUUUCGGCUUUGGCAAUGGUUUUCCUGCGUACGGCUACGGCUUCGACACCUACACCCUAAGCUUGGACGCAUUUGGAGGUCUCGGCUACGCUACCCUCCUCAAGAAGUAACCGGAAUACCUGCGCCACGUUCAAGAAAUGAUACGUGAAUAAAUUCCUGGUGGAAACUAGAUAA